rnacentral:antisense_RNA from 1 species
AACGGACAUGAGCGAUUCAUUGAUAGAUCCCUGCCCUACUGCUAGAUAGGCGUUCAUACCCAGCUCUUUCAUCUGCUGUUCGCCUAUGACUCGCGUUGUAGUAUUUUUACUCUGGCCGUCAGCUAACUGACGGGCCAGUGAGGCGAGAUAAGCAGCAUUGCAAAUAUUUGGCGGCAUAUUGCCUAAAUCUUUAGC